GUGGGGGAUAUUGCACAAUGGGCGAAAGCCUGAUGCAGCGACGCCGCGUGAGUGAAGAAGUAUUUCGGUAUGUAAAGCUCUAUCAGCAGGGAAGAAAGGCUCGUAAGAGAGAUGACGGUACCUGACUAAGAAGCCCCGGCUAACUACGUGCCAGCAGCCGCGGUAAUACGUAGGGGGCAAGCGUUAUCCGGAUUUACUGGGUGUAAAGGGAGCGCAGACGGUGAUGCAAGUCUGAAGUGAAACCCCACGGCUCAACCGUGGGCUUGCUUUGGAAACUGUAUGACUAGAGUACUGGAGAGGUAAGCGGAAUUCCUAGUGUAGCGGUGAAAUGCGUAGAUAUUAGGAGGAACAUCGGUGGCGAAGGCGGCUUACUGGACAGCAACUGACGUUGAGGCUCGAAGGCGUGGGGAGCAAACAGG
rnacentral:rRNA from 1 species